rnacentral:rRNA from 1 species
AACGAACGCUGGCGGCAUGCCUAACACAUGCAAGUCGAACGAAGGCUUCGGCCUUAGUGGCGCACGGGUGCGUAACGCGUGGGAAUCUGCCCUUUGGUUCGGAAUAACAGCUGGAAACGGCUGCUAAUACCGGAUGAUGACGAAAGUCCAAAGAUUUAUCGCCAGAGGAUGAGCCCGCGUUGGAUUAGGUAGUUGGUGGGGUAAAGGCUUACCAAGCCGACGAUCCAUAGCUGGUCUGAGAGGAUGAUCAGCCACACUGGGACUGAGACACGGCCCAGACUCCUACGGGAGGCAGCAGUGGGGAAUAUUGGACAAUGGGCGCAAGCCUGAUCCAGCAAUGCCGCGUGAGUGAUAAAGGCCCUAGGGUUGUAAAGCUCUUUUACCCGGGAAGAUAAUGACUGUACCGGGAGAAUAGGCCCCGGCUAACUCCGUG